ACAAUAUGGUACAUCCAAGUAUGUUAACUAGGGAAGAAAUUGAAAAAUACGAGAUUGAUUUUUACAAACUAAAAUUAUCAAAAGUAGGAGUAGUAGUAUACAGAAACGAUACAAUAAUAUUUGCAAUUCAGAUACCAAGAACAUUUUUUCAAACUAAGAUUCAAUUAAUAACCCCAAUGCCAAAUAGAAAUAAAUUACAAAUUAUUGAAAAAGAAAAAUUCGUUAUAAAAAUUGGCGAAAACUAUUUUGAUUAUGUAGAAAAUAAAGCAUUUAAAAAUCUAAAAUUGAGUAAAAGCUGCAUAUUUUCAAAUACUUGCGAAUUUAAAUAUAAUAACAAAACAUCAAUACAAGAAAUAAGCGAUGACACAAUAUUAAUAAGAAAUGCAAAAAAUGAUGUAAUAAAACAAAACUGCGAUGACAGAAAAAUUGUAUUAAAAAAUAACUAUAUAAUCAAAUUUGUAAAUUGUAAAAUGGAAAUUUUAAAACAAGAAUUUAAAAAUAAUAAAACAGAAUAUAUUCAUACAAUUAUAUACCCUGCCGAAAAAUUAAACCAAAGUUACACACCAAAAUUAACAUUCAAUGAUAUUGCAAUAAAAAAUAUAGAAAACAUAAAAGAAAUUGCAGAAUUAAAAUACCAUAAAAAUGUAUCAUAUGGUAUUAAUAUAUCAUUGAUAAUCAUUGUAAUGGUAGUAGUAGCAAUCCUAUUAAUAAUAUUAAAGAAAAAAACAACAAAAAUAAAAAUUGUAAAUACAAGAACUCAGGAGAGUUCAAACAGUAACGCUGGGGGAGUUGCGUCGUCAAACGACUCCACCACUGUCAAACUCGUCGACACACAAAAAAAGACAAGUAUUUUUUAAAUAUUUUUAUUUCUCUGAAAUGUAAGUUGAAUCUUCAGAUUCAACUACAUACAUAUGUACAUAUAUAAGAUAUGCCGGGUCGUUGAUGCUGAGGAAUGUCAAGUCAGCACAACGGCUUCAGGUAAAUUUAGGAAAUAAGAUUUUUGUAAAGAAUAAAAUGAUGAUUAAUAAACUGGACGGCAAGCCGCUCAGUACGGUAAA